rnacentral:lncRNA from 1 species
CACACGUGAAACCGAAAGCCAUGCAUGUUCGGCGGCCGAACCUCAACUUCGGCGGCCGAACCUGACUUUUCUGCCUUGGUUCAUUUCACUCAAAAACUCAUUUCCUUAUGCUUAAAACUUGAUAAACAGAUCAAAACAUGAUAGAAAAACAUAAAUCUAACCCUUCUAGAGACUUCCGACAUCCCGGACUCCACCGAAAAGUAGAAUUCCGAUGCCGGACUCUAGCCGGGUAUUACA